rnacentral:rRNA from 1 species
GGGGGGGGGGGGGGGGGGGGGGGGGGGGGGGGGGGGGGGGGGGGGGGGCGGGGGGGGGGGGGCGCGAGGGGCGGGCGGGGGGGGAGGACGGGGGGGGGCGGCCCUGCGCUGCGGGAUGAGCCGGGGGAACGGGGUCUAAGACCGGAUAGGGGCCGUGUUGAGUGGGGUGGUUGGAAAGGGUUUUCGGUGUAGGAUGAGCUCGCGGCCUAUCAGCUUGUUGGUGGGGUAAUGGCCUACCAAGGCGGCGACGGGUAGCCGGCCUGAGAGGGUGGACGGCCACAUUGGGACUGAGAUACGGCCCAGACUCCUACGGGAGGCAGCAGUGGGGAAUAUUGCACAAUGGGCGCAAGCCUGAUGCAGCGACGCCGCGGGGGGGAUGACGGCCUUCGGGUUGUAAACUCCUUUCGCUAGGGCCGAAGCUUUUUGUGACGGUACCUAGAUAAGAAGCACCGGCUAACUACGUG